AGCCAUCCUCCCACCUCAGCCUCCCAUGUAGCUGGGACUACAGGUGCAUGCCACCAUGCCCGGCUAAUUUUUGUAUUUUUUGUAGAGAUGGGAAUUCACCAUGUUGCCCAGGCUGGUCUCAAACUCGUGAGCUCAAGCAAUCCACCUACCACAGCCUCCCAAAGUGCUGGGAUUACAGGCAUGAGCCACUGCACCUGGCCAUCUCUGGCUGUUUUUAAGAGCAUGGUCCAGAUCAUCUAGUACUAUACUGAACAAUGCCUGGAAUCAGGUAUGCUUAUCUUCUGCCUAAUUUUUUUAUUUUUUAUUUUAUUUAUUUAUAUGUUUUUUUGAGACAGAGUCUCGCUCUGUCACCCAGGCUGGAGUGCACUGGCGUGAUCUCGGGUCACUGCAACCUCUGCCUCCUAGGUUUAAGCAAUUCUCAUGCCUCAGCCUCUCAACUAGCUGGGACUACAGGCAUGCACCACCAUGCCCGGCUAAUUUUUGUAUUUUUAGUAGAGAUGGGGUUUCACCAUAUUGGCCAGGCUGGUCUCGAACUCCUGACCUUGUGAUCCGCCCACCUCAGCCUCCCAAAGUGCUGGGAUUCCAGGCGUGAGCCACUGUGCCCGGCCAUCUUCUGCCUAAUUUUAAAGAGCACGUGUCUAAAGUUUCUCCAUUAGAUAUGAUGUUUACUCUCAGUUUUUGAUAUUAUCUUUUAUCAAAGUAAGAAGAUUUCCUUCCUAGUCUUCUGAGAGUUUUUAUCAUAAAUGCAUGGUGAAAUUUGUCAUAAACUUUUUUUCUGCAUCUACCAAGAUAAUAAUUUUCUUUUUUUCUCCCUCUGUCUACUUAUGUGGUGAAUAUACAUUGAUAGAUUUUCUGGCAUUUAUUCAACCUUCUAUUUCUAAGAUAAACCAUUUAGUUAGUUCUGAGGGGUUUUUGCUCUGAUUUUAUUUAGAACAUUUUCAUCCAUGUUUAUAACUGAAAUUGGCCCAUAAUUUUCCUUUCUGGUACUAUCCUUGCCUGUUUUUUAUUUCAAAGCUAAAAGGUGAUACUGGCUUUAUAAAAUGAGUUGGAGAGAUUACCCUUUUCCUCUGUCUUCUAGAACAAUUUGUGUCAUGUAAGGAGUAUCUUUCUUUGAAGGUUUGGCAGAAGGUAAAACCAUCUGUUCUGGUAAUUUUUAUGUAAGUGUGAGUGGCUGUGCAUGGCUUUAAAAAGAACUACAAAUCCAAUUUAUUUAAUGUUUUAAGUCUACUCAGGCAUUUAAUUUCUUACUGAGUUACAGUAGGCAAUAUUAUUUUUCUAGAAAAUUGUUCUUGCUUUUUGGUUUCACAUUUAUCAGUACAAUACUCACAGUAGUUUCUUACAUUCAUUUAGAAUUUUUACAACUUCACUGCUAUCUGCCAGUCUUUAUUUGUGACUUCACUCCUGUUUUUUCUUGAUCAGUUUGCCAGAGGGUUGUUUUUUGAGAACUAUUUAAAAAUAAAAGCAUCUCUACUGUUUCUUUGCUUCAUGUUUCCUUAAUUUAUGCUUUUAUUUUUUUUCCAUUUUCUUUGGAUUUACCCUGUGAUUCUUUUUCAGCUUCCUUUGUUGAAUGCUUAGGUAAUUAAUUUUUAAACCUUCUCCUUUUGGUAACAGGUAUUUAGGGCUAUAAAUGGACCACUAAGUAUUUCUUUAGAUGUUUCCUAGGUUUUGAUAUCAAGUGUUUUUAUUGUUGUCUAAAUAGAUUAUAAUUGAAAACUAUUGCAAAUAUGAAAUUUAAAUAUCUAUAAGUUAUUUAGAAAUAUAUUUUAUAAUGCAUGACUAGCUAUCUUUUUGUUAUUAACAUUGCAAGAAGGUCAGAUAA
rnacentral:lncRNA from 10 species